UACGAAGGGGGCUAGCGUUGUUCGGAAUUACUGGGCGUAAAGCGCGCGUAGGCGGUUUUGCAAGCCAGAGGUGAAAUGCCUGAGCUCAACUCAGGAAUGGCCUUUGGGACUGCGAGGCUUUGAGGACUGGAGAGGUGAGUGGAAUUCCCAGUGUAGAGGUGAAAUUCGUAGAUAUUGGGAAGAACACCGGUGGCGAAGGCGGCUCACUGGCCAGUUUCUGACGCUGUAGCGCGAAGGCGUGGGGAGCAAACAGG
rnacentral:rRNA from 1 species